GAGUUUUGAUCUUGGCUCAGGACGAACGCUGGCGGCGUGCUUAACACAUGCAAGUCGAACGAUGGUCCCGCCUUCGGGCGGGGGAUUAGUGGCGAACGGGUGAGUAACACGUGGGUAACCUGCCCCGACUCCGGGAUAAGCCUGGGAAACCGGGUCUAAUACCGGAUAUGACUUCCUGCCGCAUGGCGGGGGGUGGAAAGAUCUGUCGGUCGGGGAUGGACUCGCGGCCUAUCAGCUGGUUGGCGGGGUAACGGCCCACCAAGGCGACGACGGGGUAGCCGGCCUGAGAGGGUGGACGGCCACACUGGGACUGAGACACGGCCCAGACUCCUACGGGAGGCAGCAGUGGGGAAUAUUGCACAAUGGGCGCAAGCCUGAUGCAGCGACGCCGCGUGAGGG
rnacentral:rRNA from 1 species